rnacentral:rRNA from 1 species
UCCCGUUGAUCCUGCGGGAGACCACUGCUAGUAGGAUGCGAUUCAGACAUGCAAGUCAAAUGUACUUUUUAGAACAUGGCGGAAGGCUGAGUAACACGUCAAUAAUCUGCCCUUGAGUGGAGAAUAACCUCGGGAAACUGAGGAUAAUACUCCAUAGAUGUAUUAUAUUGGAAGAUUUAUACAUCCAAAGCUUCGGCGCUCAAGGAUGAGUUGGCGACAGAUUAGGUAGUUGGUAGGGUAAAGGCCUACCAAGCCAAAGAUCUGUAGGGGUGAUGAGAGUCAUAGCCUCCAGAGGAACACUGAGAUAAGGGUUCCAGCUCUACGGAGUGCAGCAGUUACGAAACCUUUACAAUGCGCGAAAGCGUGAUAAGGGCAUCCUACGUGCUAGCUUAUAGUUAGCUUUUGCUAAGUUUAAAAAUCUUGGAGAAUAAGGGGUGGGCAAGACCGGUGCCAGCCGCCGCGGUAACCCCGGCGCCCCAAGUGGUGGUCAUAAUUAUUGGGUUUAAAGCAUCCGUAGCUGGUCGAGAAAGUUUUCGGUGAAAUCUGGCAGCUUAACUGUCAGGAAGGCUGAAAAUACUAUUCGACUAGGGACCGGGAGGAGUCAGAGGAAUGUCAGGGGGAGCGGUAAAAUGUGUUAAUCCUUGAUGGACCACCAGUGGCGAAGGCGUCUGACUAGAACGGAUCCGACAGUGAGGGAUGAAAGCUAGGGGAGCAAAUCGGAUUAGAUACCCGAGUAGUCCUAGCCGUAAACGCUGCCUGCAAGGUGCUGCAAUUUCUUCGUGUUUUUGCAGUGUCGAAGAGAAAUCGUUAAGCAGGCCACCUGGGAAGUACGGUCGCAAGGCUGAAACUUAAAGGAAUAGGCGGGGGGUCACAACAAGGGGUGGAUGUUGCGGUUUAAUUCAACAAUACGCGGGGAACCCUACCAGGGCCGACAGCAGAAUGAAGGUCAUCCUAAAUGGAUUACUUGACGCGCUGAGAGGUGGUGCAUGGCGGUCGUCAGCUCGUGCCAUGAGGUGUUCUGUUAAGUCAGAGAACGAGCGAGACCUGCGUCUGCAGUUGCCACCGUUCUUAUUUGAGAGCGAGCACACUGAAGAGACUGCAUUCGAAAGGAUGAGGAAGGUGCAGGCUACGGUACGUCUGUAUGCCCCGAAUGCUCUGGGCUACACGCGACAUACACUGGUCGGAACAACGGGCUGCGACUCCGAAAGGAGAAGCUAAUCCCUUAAAGCCGAUCCGGUUCGAAUUGAGGGUUGCAACUCAUCCUCAUGAAGACGAAAUCCCUAGUAAUCGUGUAUUAGCAUUGCACGGUGAAUACGUCCCUGGCCCUUGCACUCACUGCCUGUCAAGUCAACCGAGCAGGGUUAUGAUGAGGUUUUGUCCUUAGGGCAGAUUCAAAUCAUAGCUCAGUGAGGCGGAUUAAGUCAACACAAGGUAUCUGUAGGGG